AUUAAUGAGAAGUCAGAAGAACACCAAUAAAUGUGACAAACGUAUUUCUCCUCUUUCAGCCCUGAAAGCCCAGCAAAGAGCAACAGCAACAGCCCUUGGCUUGUGGUUCCUCAGGACAGCAGAUCGUCUGAAUGUGGAGAAGAGUGAAGAUGAAGCACAAUGGUUCAGAAAGCACAGAACACAGUGCUUCUCAUUUUAAGAGUCUGAUAAUUAAGCCAUUAAAGAUUGCUGUGACUAGCAAUACCAUGUCUACGGGGAGCUAAUUACUUGUACAACUGGUAAAAUACCAUGACAAUAAAGGACAUUUUAUAGACAAGGAACGCCGACAAGCUCCUGCCCUGAAGCGUGCAGCUGGAGGGCCCAGCCUGUACCCUCCUAAGUCCGUGGAAUGUCUCCAGUGAACAACAGCAACUUGGGACCUGCAUUUCUGCUGUCAAGUUGGCAUGGAAAUAAAUAGGAGGCAUUACUUUUGGAUCAAUCUACAUGUUACUGCAGAGCAGUCCCUUUGGCCUUCAUUCCAUUCCUCUUCCUGGUGGGACUGAAGCAUCUGAAUGGUAUAUGGAGUAUGUGUAUCACUGUGUGCCAGAACAGAUAGUGCAGAGCUGCAGCUGAUGGCCUAUCAAAACAGCACAAAAUUCCCUGACAGAUCUACCAGAGUAUUACAGAAAAAUUACGCUCUCUCCAUAUGGAUGCAAGAUUGCUGGACACCCCGUUUGAAAUAAGGAAUUUCUGGUCUUUGAGCCCUGGACCUCAGCCACUCUCUGCAGCUCUCUCUUCCUCCAUACUCCUCUGGGCAGCACAAGAGAUCCAGAGAAAGAAACACACUGUGGA